rnacentral:tRNA from 1 species
GGGCUUGUGGUACAGUGGUAGCACGUUCGCUUAGCAUCUCCAAUAGCAUGCGAAAGGUCCUGGGUUCAAUUCCCAGCAAGUCCA